AACAAACGCUGGCGGCGUGCCUAAUACAUGCAAGUCGAACGGGGAAAGCUUUCGGGUGAGUACUAGUGGCGCACGGGUGAGUAACGCGUGGAUAAUCUGCCUUAGAGUGGGGGAUAACUAGUCGAAAGAUUAGCUAAUACCACAUAAGACCACAAGAACUGCGGUUCAAUGGGUCAAAGGUUUUUCGCUCUAAGAUGAGUCCGCGUAAGAUUAGCUAGUUGGUAGGGUAACGGCCUACCAAGGCGACGAUCUUUAACUGGUCUGAGAGGAUGAUGAGUCACACUGGAACUGAGACACGGUCCAGACUCCUACGGGAGGCAGCAGUAGGGAAUAUUGCACAAUGGAGGAAACUCUGAUGCAGGGACGCCGCGUGAGUGAUGAAGGCCUUCGGGUCGUAAAGCUCUGUCGCAGGGGAAUAACACAAUGAAGGUACCCUGUAAGAAAGGAUCGGCUAACUUCGUGCCAGCAGCCGCCGUAAAAC
rnacentral:rRNA from 1 species